UGUAAGAAAAAGUUGGCAGGUGACUUGA
rnacentral:piRNA from 1 species